UACGGAGGGUGCGAGCGUUGUCCGGAAUCACUGGGCGUAAAGGGCGCGUAGGCGGCGCGAGUAGUCAACGGUGAAAGCCCGGGGCUCAACCCCGGGUCGGCCGUCGAUACUCUCGUGCUUGAGCACUGUAGAGGCAGGUGGAAUUCCGGGUGUAGCGGUGGAAUGCGUAGAGAUCGGGAGGAACACCGGCGGCGAAGGCGGCUGCCUGGACCAGUCCUGACGCUGAGGCGCGAAAGCUAGGGGAGCAAACAGG
rnacentral:rRNA from 1 species